GCCUGCUUAGCAUAUUAAGUGUUUUUAUUUUAAGCGUAAAAGGUUAUGUUUGGCU
rnacentral:tRNA from 1 species